AACAAGAUUUCUUCGACGCUGGUGGCAGUAAAGGAAAAUUAAUGAAAGUUUUCUACAUAGUUCUUAAGAGCAAAAGUCUGCAAAGAUCUGAGGGAAGUUUGUGCUCGAGAUGCAAAUGGCAGGCCUUCAUCCAUCUCCCAUAUGAGCCUGUACACACAUUAUUAUAAGAAUAACUGGAUUCUUUGAGAAGGCCACCUAAAUCAGAAAGACCAGAAGCUACUGACCCGAGCAAGAACUUCAGUGAUUGCCCUGGACUGCCUCCAAUACGGACUGAUCUGCCAGCUUCCUGAUGGCUCGUGCACCUUUGACUACUGCUAUGGAUCAUCCCCCUAGCCUGCCUCGGCCACCAAGCAUUACACCCAUCCAACUAUUAAGUCUCUGGGACUGCUUCCUCUCUUCCUGCUACAAGGCCAUUUGUUUAUUCAAAGAUCCCUGGAAUGGGUUCUUCUGGCCCUCUCUGGCAUUAAUAGCCAGUAUACCCGUUUACAGGGAGAAUUUAAACACUACUCUAGAGUGUCAUAAACAUAAACACAAAAGCAUUGUGUUAGAGCAUGAGAAUGAGAAAGUGAAACUGACACAAACCAGGGAAGUGAAACUUUCAGUCUACUAUCAUUAUCAAAGCUGAGUAAAAUGUAAAAAAGUAAGUGGUAUUCAUUCACUUUUAGUAUUCUAAGACAGCAGUUUAACAACUAUGGUUUGUGAAUCACUGGCUGCAUGGUGCUAGUGCUCCUUGUUUCCAGUUUUUAAAUUGCAUUAAAAGACAAUUAAACAUAGCAAA